AUGCUUAGGGCUGUUUUGAAGAAUAAUAAGAAAAUGUGGGAGGAAUACUUGCCUCAUAUUGAAUUUGCUUAUAAUCGUUCAUUGCAUUCUACUACUAAGAUGUGCCCUUUUGAAGUUGUGUAUGGUUUCCUACCUCGUGCACCUAUUGAUUUGUUGCCUCUUCCAUCUUCGGAGAAGGUUAAUUUUGAUGCUAAACAACGUGCUGAAUUGAUUUUAAAAAUGCAUGAGUUAACUAAGGAAAACAUUGAGCGUAUGAAUGCUAAAUAUAAACUUGCUGGAGAUAAGGGUAGAAAACAUGUUGUGUUUGCACCUGGAGAUCUUGUUUGGUUACAUUUGCGUAAGGAUAGAUUUCCUGAUUUGCGCAAAUCAAAGCUAAUGCCACGUGCUGAUGGUCCCUUUAAGGUGUUAAAGAAAAUAAAUGAUAAUGCAUAUAAACUUGAGCUGCCUGCAGAUUUUGGGGUUAGUCCCACUUUUAACAUUGCAGAUUUGAAGCCUUAUUUGGGUGAGGAAGAUGAACUUCCGUCGAGGACGACUUCAUUUCAAGAAGGGGAGGAUGAUGAGGACAUCAAUACAAUUGUUACACCCACAGCCCCUGCUGCUAUACAUACUGGACCAAUUACUAGAGCUCGUGCACGCCAACUAAAUUACCAGGUACUUUCGUUUCUUGGUAAUGAUUCUAAUGUUCAUGAGAAUAUGAUGUUGCCUAAAUUGGAUACAUUUGUUUUGCUUACAAAUGAAGGGCCUAGCUUGGAGAAGGAUGAACAUUGGAGCAAGAACAAGCAUGGAGAUGAUGGCAUGCGCAAGGGGAACAAGAACGGAGUUACAAGUGAUGAUUUCAGGACUUUGAAGCCACCAUAA
rnacentral:rRNA from 1 species